AGCUUGACAGUCUUAGUUCAGCCUGUUGUAGGGUUUCCAUUAGAUUCUCUAAAAUAGCUCAAGGGUCUCCACUAGAUUCUUGCACCAUGAAGUUGUGGGUAUUGCAAGCUCCAGAGUUGAGGAAUGCAGGUGCCUUUGGGCUGCAGGUUCCAGGACCCAUAGCAUCCUGGUGCUUCUGUGAUGGCUGGCAUAUGGCUUGGCAUCUGCACUGAAGCUGGUCUUCUCUCUGCAUUCUUCACUCCAGGCUUUCUCCUGGCACUGACGCAGGGCCGAGAGCAACAGGCACAGAACUCCUUCUCCAGUUUCACCCUGAUGAAGUUGAGGCACUCUUCUGCACUGGGAGGGGCCAGCCUGGGGGCCAGGCACAUUGGACACCACCUUCCCAUGGACUACAGCGUCAAUGCCAUUGCCUUCUAUUCCUAUACCUUCUAGGGGCUGCCCCUCUUCCCAUUCAGCCAACACUGAGUGUUGGGAGAUUUCUCUUUUUUAAAAACACAUGAGAAAAUAAAUGCACUUUACUCCCUCCCCAGCAGGGUGUUAUCCUC
rnacentral:lncRNA from 1 species